GACAGAGGGUGCAAACGUUGUUCGGAAUUACUGGGCGUAAAGCGUGCGCAGGCGGUUUGUUAAGACAGGUGUGAAAUCCCCGGGCUCAACCUGGGAAUGGCGCUUGUAACUGGCAGGCUAGAGUGUGUCAGAGGGAGGUAGAAUUCCACGUGUAGCAGUGAAAUGCGUAGAGAUGUGGAGGAAUACCGAUGGCGAAGGCAGCCUCCUGGGAUAACACUGACGCUCAGGCACGAAAGCGUGGGGAGCAACAGG
rnacentral:rRNA from 1 species